CACGUAGGGUGCGAGCGUUGUCCGGAAUUAUUGGGCGUAAAGAGCUCGUAGGCGGCUUGUCGCGUCGACUGUGAAAUCCCGCGGCUCAACUGCGGGUCUGCAGUCGAUACGGGCAGGCUAGAGUUCGGUAGGGGGAGACUGGAAUUCCUGGUGUAGCGGUGAAAUGCGCAGAUAUCAGGAGGAACACCGGUGGCGAAGGCGGAUCUCUGGGCCAUUACUGACGCUGAGGAGCGAAAGCGUGGGGGAGCGAACAGG
rnacentral:rRNA from 1 species